GAAUCUUGGGCAAUGGACGAAAGUCUGACCCAGCGACGCCGCGUGAAGGAAGAAGGCCUUCGGGUCGUAAACUUCUUUUGUGGGGGAAGAAGCCCUGACGGUACCCCACGAAUAAGCCACGGCUAACUACGUGCCAGCAGCCGCGGUAAUACGUAGGUGGCGAGCGUUGUCCGGAUUUACUGGGCGUAAAGGGCUUGUAGGCGGUUCGUUAAGUCUGGUGUGAAAUCUCCCGGCUCAACUGGGAGGGGUCAUCGGAUACUGGCGAACUUGAGGGGGGUAGAGGAAAGCAGAAUUCCCGGUGUAGCGGUGAAAUGCGUAGAUAUCGGGAGGAAUACCAGUGGCGAAGGCGGCUUUCUGGGCCUACCCUGACGCUGAGACACGAAAGCGUGGGGAGCAAACAGG
rnacentral:rRNA from 1 species